UAUUAUUCUCUUGAUUAAUGGCAAUCUGCCGAUACUUUCAGCAAUUUCUGCCAGUGUCGUGUUAUGGCUACACAUGGAACAUUGUCGAGCUAUUUAAACAAACUUUAUAUUAUGAAAAGUAUCCAAUUUUGGCAAUAAUAAUGGUGCCUGGAACAAACACAAAAUUAAUGUUACUAUAGACUUACAUAUUAUAAUAAAAUGUAUGUACAGACUGUGCUCUUCAAAAGGGGUCGCCCUCCCGACACCACUACUAGCAUCUCGUCCCGAAUUAGGCGUGGUAACUCCAUUUUCGCCAUCAGAAUUUGUAUCCAGCCCAUACCGUGGACUUCGAAGGCCAAGUAGCUAAGCGUCACCCUUGACAGAGGGAUGAAAUUCGGUCCCCACAUCGCGAACAUCAUACACGACCGAGCCGUGUUCCUACUCGGUCGACUCUACCCCAUGACUUGCAAGUGAAGUAAAUUGUCCCUUUAUAACAAGGUGUCAGUAUAAAUCCUAUAUACGUUCUGUCAUGACCUAUAUAAGUAUAUUUUUCGCUCCGGGCCCGCACGCACAUAAACUCUCCAGGUCAUUCGAUCCCGUUUUUGCAGGAUAGCCGUCGGAGCACCAUGGUACUUGAGAAAUGUCGACCUUCACGACCACCUAAACAUAGAACUGAUACAAACGCUGCAGAACUAAGUCUACUCGCUAACUUGCAUAUGUGAGGACCCCACUGCAGCUUGGAAUCAACUGUUAUACCAAGAAAAACUGUCGAAUCCACAAGCUCCAGUGUCUCUCCACUUACAGUAAUAUUAGUGUCUACUUGUCUAACAUUAGAAUUGACAACAGCAGCAGAGCAAAUCCCAUACAUCAUACCAAAGAUAUUUAUUAAAAAACAAAUAUAAAUAUGUAUGUACACAAUUACCUACUAACAAAAUUAUAAAUAUGUAAAAUAACAGUAAUAAAUUGAGAAAAGAUAUGCUGAAGACAAACAGUUUUUGCAGAUUAUUGAAAAUAGUCACAGACAACACAUAUUGCGGGGCACAUGUCAGGAAGUUUGCAUAUUUAAGCAGGAAGAAGUGCUUGCCUCAGUGCUUGGCGAGAGCUACGUGUUUGCACACGGGUCUGCUGCUGCGACAGAAGAAACGGUUGAGGAUAAAGAUAUCAACAUUUCACUCCGGUGAGAGUACGACAAAAGGGCAAAUGAUGGACGAGAGCCAGCCCACCGACAAUCAUGCCAGUUUCGGAGGAAAUUUUGAAGUGUAUGUUGAUUUUCUUUAAUCGAUGAUAAAUUGCGUUUUGUUGCUCAUUCGAGUACGGUAAAAGUGAAAUAAAUAUAUUCACGAAGCGCUGUCUAACUACAAAUUAAUAAAUUAAAAUAAAACAUAAAUUAUACCAUACCCGCGUUGAAAUGUAUUGUAAGUAUAGUA